rnacentral:miRNA from 1 species
UGCUGCCUCUCCUCUUGCCUGCAG